CCUACGGGCGGCAGCAGUGAGGAAUAUUGGUCAAUGGGCGGGAGCCUGAACCAGCCAAGCCGCGUGAGGGAAGAAGGUACAGCGUAUCGUAAACCUCUUUUGUCAGGGAACAAAGGCGGGGACUAGUCCCCGGAUGAGGGUACCUGAAGAAAAAGCAUCGGCUAACUCCGUGCCAGCAGCCGCGGUAAUACGGAGGAUGCGAGCGUUAUCCGGAUUUAUUGGGUUUAAAGGGUGCGCAGGCGGCCUGUUAAGUCAGCGGGAAAAGCCCGGGGCGCAACCCCGGCGAGCCGUUGAAACUGGCGGGCUGGAGUUGGAGAGAAGGACGCGGAAGGCGCGGUGUAGCGGUGAAAUGCUUAGAUAUCGCGCAGAACCCCGAUUGCGAAGGCAGCGUACCGGCUCCACACUGACGCUGAGGCACGAAAGCGUGGGUAUCGAACAGGAUUAGAUACCCGAGUAGUC
rnacentral:rRNA from 1 species